CUCCCACGACAGAACCUUACUUCGGUACAUCGGUGACAGGUGAUGCAUGGUUGUCGUCAGCUCGUGUCGUGAGAUGUUGGGUUAAGUCCCGCAACGAGCGCAACCCCUAUUGUUAGUUGCCAUCAUUCAGUUGGGCACUCUAGCGAGACUGCCGGUAAUAAACCGGAGGAAGGUGGGGAUGACGUCAAAUCAUCAUGCCCCUUAUGACCUGGGCUACACACGUGCUACAAUGGUUGGUACAACGAGUUGCGAGUCGGUGACGGCGAGCUAAUCUCUUAAAGCCAAUCUCAGUUCGGAUUGUAGGCUGCAACUCGCCUACAUGAAGUCGGAAUCGCUAGUAAUCGCGGAUCAGCACGCCGCGGUGAAUACGUUCCCGGUCGACGCGGCCG
rnacentral:rRNA from 1 species